rnacentral:rRNA from 1 species
AUUGAACGCUGGCGGCAGGCCUAACACAUGCAAGUAGAACGAGUGGCGGACGGGUGAGUAAUGUCUGGGAAACUGCCUGAUGGCGGGGGAUAACGACUGGAAACGGUAGAUAAUACCGCAUACCAUCAGAUGAUCCCAGAUGGGAUUAGCUAGGUGGUGGGGUAACGGCUCACCAAGACGACGAUCCCUAGCUGGUCUGAGAGGAUGACCAGCCACACUGGAACUGAGACACGGCCCAGACUCCUACGGGAGGCAGCAGUGGGGAAUAUUGCACAAGGGGCGCAAGCCUGACGCAGCCAUGCCGCGGGUAUGAAGAAGGCCUUCGGGUUGUAAAGUACUUUCAGCGGGGAGGCGUUACCCGCAGAAGAAGCACCGGCUAACUCCGUGCCAGCAGCCGCGGUAAUUC